rnacentral:rRNA from 1 species
AUUGAACGCUGGCGGCAUGCUUUACACAUGCAAGUCGAACGGUAACAGGCCUUCGGGUGCUGAUGAGUGGCGAACGGGCGAGUAAUGCAUCGGAACGUGCCCAGCGGUGGGGGAUAACGCAGCGAAAGCUGAGCUAAUACCGCAUGUGAUCUGAGGAUGAACGCGGGGGAGCAGGCAGCAAAGUUUGGCCUCGCGCGUUUGGAGUGGCCGAUGUUAGAUUAGGUAGUGGGUGGGGUAAAGGCCUACGAAGCCGGCGAUCUGUAGCUGGUCUGAGAGGACGGCCACCCGCACUGGGACUUGGACACGGCCCAGGGGCCUGCGGGACGCAGCAGUGUGGAAUGUUGGACAGUGGGCGGGAGCCUGAUCCAACAGUGCCGCGUGUGGGGAGGAGGCCUUCCGGUUGUGAACCGGUUCUGUACGGAGCGAAAAGGCUCUGGCUAAUACCUGGCGCUGAUGACGGUACCGUAAGAAUAAGCACCGGCUAACUACGUG